rnacentral:lncRNA from 1 species
CGUGACCAAAUGAUACGUUGUUACCAAGGAUGACAACGUUUAUCAAGCAUAGGUCGUUGUGUGCCAUAUAGGUUGGUUGUCAUCUUAACCAAUGAGUGUGGAGACACUGGUAUGACAUACAGGUGAGAUAUAAGGGUACAUCUGCACUGAACAUGAUCGACUCUGGAGCUAUUUCUGCUGUCAAGAUUUGCUCCGAUGGAAUAUGGGUAUAAAUAUCCCUCCGACCUGAGACCGCCACGGUGAC